GUCAACUUAUCUAAGCCAAGCACACCCCAUUGUCUGCUUAUCUGAACUCUGUUCUUUGAAUUGAAUAUACAUCAAAUAUCUGAUAUUGGUUGAGACAGUAUUGUUCCAGUUACUACAGCAUUCCUUUGGACCACAUUAAAUAUGCAUUUGUUAAUUGUUAUAAUGUAAAUAUUAACCUCAUUUCAGGUCAUAUCUUGGAUAAAAAUGCUUACCUUCAACAACUAGAUAUACUGGUCACAGUUAAAUUAAAUAUUGUUGUCAAGAAGAUUUUCCCUAUUCAUCGUAGAGGAGCAAUGGAACAUGUGCUUAAACUUUGCAUAAGUUUUGUUGAAACUUUCAUUUGAUAUACUGAAGAUGGUUGUUGAAUAUUGUUUGGUAACAAUAUCUAUAUGGCUAUAUGGCUGUAAAGAGAGAUGUUGAAAGGUGCAAUUUUAGUGCAAAAAUGUGCAUGUUUAACAACAUGUUGAAUGAACAAACAUUAUAAUGCAGUAAAACACUAGGAAUCAUUAUGUUUUCAAAACUUUAUAACAACUUAGUAAAUGUGUCGGAAUGUCCAUAUAUCCAUCCACCAAGAGGAGGUAUCUACAUGUUAGUGAAACUUAAUACAUUAUAGAUGGAUAAAUCUCAUUGGGGAGAAAUGAUGUGUUGAAUUUUAAUAUGCCCGAAACAAUUUCGGGCAUAUUAUGUUAUACCCCCUGGCAUCUGUUCCUCCGUACGAACCCAGAGGUACUUGUGUGACUGGGUAUCAGUAUAUAAAUAACACAUGGGUUUGUUAGUAACAGUAAAAAUAUCAUCCCGAAGAAAAUACUGUUACCCAAGGAUGAUUGUCCAUAUUAUUAUUAGGUAGAAGACACCUAUUGAUUUUGAGGUCACAAGAUCAAAGGUCAAGAACUGAAAACAGUUUCCGGAGCAUAACUUAAGUUCCAUUUGGCACACAGUGUUCAAACUUCAUAGUAUGAUUGUCCAUAUUGGGUAGAAGACCCCUAUUGAUUUUGGGGUCACAAGGUCAAGGUCAUUAUUGCCUUAAAACUGAAAACAGUUUCCGGAGCAUAACUUAAGUUCCAUUUGGCCCACAGUGUUCAAACUUCAUAGGAUGAUUGUCUAUAUUGGGUAGAAAAUCCCUAUUGAUUUUGGGGUCACAAGGUCAAAGGUCAAGGUCAUUAUUACUUUAGAACUGAAAACAGUUUCCGGAACAUAACUUAAGUUUCAUUUGGCCCACAAUAUAAAAACUUCAUAGGAUGAUUGUCCAUAUUGGGUAGAAGACCACUAUUGAUUUUGGGAUCACAAGGUCAGAGGUCAAGGUCACUAUUACUUUAAAAGUGAAAACAGUUUCCGGAGAAUAACUUAAGUUCCAUUUGGCCCACAUUUGGCCUAGCGGUGCUCUUGUUAGUUUUCAGCUCAAUUUUUUUUAAGAAUAAAAGAGUGUGAGCUAUUGCUAUGUACAGUCAUGCCUUACUUUCUUGUUGUCAUCCUAAAACUUUAACAUUGGCAAUUAUUUCAUUACAAAAUGGAUUCAAUUUUCUUCACAACAACCCUUUUGACAAGACCUUCAAGUAGACCAGACUGAACUUGACCUUGAGUCUUAAAAUAUCUUGACCUUCCAAGUCACGGUGUCAAAUGUUUAAACUGUUAAAAUGUUAUUCUUUUUAGCUCACCUGAGCUUGCGUUUGAACAUGGGUCAUCUCAGAUGAAAAACUAGGUCACAGGAGCUAAAAAUAGAAAAAUCUUGUUAACACUCUAAUGGCUACUGUUUUCAUCCAAAUAUCCUGGACUGAAAGUUUGUUUUGAUGAUUUUUAUGUCAAAUUUGAAUAUGGGUCACCUGGGGUCAAAAACUAGGUCACACUGCUCAAAUAUGGAAAAUCCUUGUUAACACUCUAGUGGUCACAUGUUUGACUCACCUGUCAUGAAACUUGGUCAGGAUGCUUGUCUAGGUAAUUGCUCGGAUGAGUUCGAACAUGUGUCAUCUCAGAUGAAAUACUAGGUCACAGGAGUUUAAUAUAAUAUGGGUUUGAUGGGUCAGGUGAGCGAUCUAGGGUCAUUUUGGCCCUCUUGUUGGCUGUAACUUUGUAAGUAA